rnacentral:rRNA from 1 species
AUUGAACGCUGGCGGCAUGCUUUACACAUGCAAGUCGAACGGCAGCACGGGCUUCGGCCUGGUGGCGAGUGGCGAACGGGUGAGUAAUAUAUCGGAACGUACCCAGAAGUGGGGGAUAACGUAGCGAAAGUUACGCUAAUACCGCAUACGAUCUAUGGCUGAAAGCAGGGGGCCGCAAGGCCUUGUGCUCCUGGGGCGGCCGAUAUCUGAUUAGCUAGUUGGUGAGGUAAAGGCUGACCAAGGCGACGAUCAGUAGCUGGUCUGAGAGGACGACCAGCCACACUGGAACUGAGACACGGUCCAGACUCCUACGGGAGGCAGCAGUGGGGAAUUUUGGACAAUGGGCGCAAGCCUGAUCCAGCAAUGCCGCGUGAGUGAAGAAGGCCUUCGGGUUGUAAAGCUCUUUUGUCAGGGAAGAAACGGUAGAGGCUAAUAUCCUUUGCUAAUGACGGUACCUGAAGAAUAAGCACCGGCUAACUACGUG